GACAACGCUGGCGGCGUGCUCCUACAUGUCAAGUCGAACGAGUUUAGUUUUCGAUGAUAGCUGGUGCUUGCACCAAUAGAAUUAAAAGCAAACGAGUGGCGGACGGGUGAGUAACACGUGGGUAACCUACCCUAAAGUGGGGGAUAACAUUUGGAAACAGGUGCUAAUACCGCAUAAUAACAGAAGAAGCAUUUCUUUUGUUUGAAAGUCGCAAUUGCGACACUCGAGGAUGGACCCGCGGUGCAUUAGCUAGUUGGUGGGGUAACGGCUCACCAAGGCCACGAUGCAUAGCCGACCUGAGAGGGUGAUCAGCCACACUGGGACUGAGACACGGCCCAGACUCCUACGGGAGGCAGCAGUAGGGAAUCUUCCACAAUGGACGAAAGUACUGAUGGAGCAACGCCGCGUGAGUGAAGAAGGUUUUCAGGAUCAGUAAAAACUCUGUAUAUUUGGAGAAGAACGUAUAUAGGUCAGUAACUGGCCAGAUAGUGACGGUAUCCAAAUCAGAAAGACCAACGGCUAAACUACGUGCCAGACAGACGCAGGUAAAUACACUAGGUUGGCAAAGCGUUGUCCGGGAUUGAUUUAUUGGGCGUAAAG
rnacentral:rRNA from 1 species